rnacentral:misc_RNA from 1 species
GAAAUGCGAUAAGUAAUGUGAAUUGCAGAAUUCAGUGAAUCAUCGAAUCUUUGAACGCACAUUGCGCCCGCCAGUAUUCUGGCGGGCAUGCCUGUUCGAGCGUCAUUUCAACCAUCAAGCCCCCGGCUUGUGUUGGGGACCUGCGGCUGCCCGCAGGCCCUGAAAAGCAGUGGCGGGCUCGCUGUCACACCGAGCGUAGUAGCAUACAUUCUCGCUCAGGGCGUGCUGCGGGUUCCGGCCGUUAAACGACCUUCAUAACCCAAGGUUGACCUCGGAUCAGGUAGGAAGACCCGCUGAACUUAAGC